GGAUGUAUACUCAGAUACUAUGAGUCAGGGAUUAGUGUGGUAUCUUGUCAUUUAUCUAAUAAUCAUGUUUAUUCAAUUCACUUUAUUGCAAUGAACAACUUAAUAAACAGCUGUCAAGUUAUAAGAAGAUGAAAUUCUUCUUGAUUUACGUAACAGAUUUAGACCUGGAAAUGGAUCGUUUUGCAAAGAAAGCCACAAUAACCAAUCAGAUUAUUCUUGGGAAAAGUAUGUGUAGUUUGAGGGCAGACAGCGUGCUACUUCCUGAAAACAUCCAAAAUGCAGAAGAGAACAAAAAUCUGCUUGAUAACUUGUUCCUGAUUUAAUAGUACUACUCUUUUCACUUAAAUAAAUUGUUGAACAGAUCACAAAAUUCCAAAAGUAGGUCUAGCAACUCAGAUUUAGAUUUAAUACACUGAUAAGAUUUCCUUAAGAAGUCAAUAACGAAAUAGUUAAAUAGCUUAUGUAAUGUCCAAGUAAAAUUCAAAUUAUACAGAUAUUUACCGUAACAAUGUGACUAUUUACAUUAACCAACUGGCAACAGGAGAGUACCGCACACUUAAAUUAUUACUUAAUAAAAGCAUAAUUUUUGACUUGACAUACACAUGUAAAAAUUAAUCAAAUUUAGUUGAAUCUUAAAAUUACUUUUCACCUUUCCUCUUUUGAACUCUUCGAUGAUUUCUUAAGCAGAAAAGAAGCUUUUAAAAACAGUUUAUAAUCAUAUUACAGCUAACAAAACUAACAUCAAAAACAGUACUUGAAUGUUUAUUAAAAGCUUCCAGUCAUUACAAUGAUUUUAAGACUAAUAAUAGCGUGAUGUAAUUUGAAUCCAUUUGCACUGAAAUAAAUUAUUGCCCUUCGUUUCCACUUCCCUAUAUUUUCGAAGGACUCAUCAACAUUGUUCUCUAAUAUUAAUCAAAACCGGAAUAAUCUCAGUUUCCAGCAUUUGGCUCUAUGGGAACAACUUUUCUAACAUCUUCAAGCGAUAAAAAUGCUUAUUAAAAAGGGGGAGAAAGAACUGAGAACAAUUAGAAAGAACAAACGAAUUUGUCAUCCCCCGAGUGUCACGGAGAUCUUUUUCUAGUUUCAAAGUAGUACAAUUCAACUGCCAGGCCCCAUUCCUUUAAAGCUUCACACUCGUG
rnacentral:lncRNA from 1 species